UAGUUGGUGGGGUAACGGCCUACCAAGGCGACGAUCAGUAGCCGACCUAAGAGGGUGAUCGGCCACAUUGGAACUGAGACACGGUCCAAACUCCUACGGGAGGCAGCAGUGGGGAAUCUUGCACAAUGGGCGAAAGCCUGAUGCAGCAACGCCGCGUGAGCGAAGAAGGCCUUUGGGUCGUAAAGCUCUGUCCUAAGGGAAGAAGGAAGUGACGGUACCUUAGGAGGAAGCCCCGGCUAACUACGUGCCAGCAGCCGCGGUAAUACGUAGGGGGCAGGCGUUAUCCGGAAUUAUUGGGCGUAAAGAGUACGUAGGCGGUUCUUUAAGCGCAGGGUUUAAGGCGAUAGCUUAACUAUCGUUCUGCCCUGUGAACUGGGGGACUUGAGUAUCGGAGAGGAAAGCGGAAUUCCUAGUGUAGCGGUGAAAUGCGUAGAUAUUAGGAGGAACACCAGUGGCGAAGGCGGCUUUCUGGACGAAAACUGACGCUGAGGUACGAAAGCGUGGGGAGCAAACAGGAUUAGAUACCCUGGUAGUCCACGCCGUAAACGAUGA
rnacentral:rRNA from 1 species